GACGAACCGUACGAACGUUAUUCGGAAUUACUGGGCUUAAAGGGUGCGUAGGCUGCGCAGCAAGUUGGGUGUGAAAUCCCUCGGCUUAACCGAGGAACUGCGCCCAAAACUGCUGUGCUCGAGGGAGACAGAGGUGAGCGGAACUUAGGGUGGAGCGGUGAAAUGCGUUGAUAUCCUAAGGAACACCUGUGGCGAAAGCGGCUCACUGGGUCUCUUCUGACGCUGAGGCACGAAAGCUAGGGUAGCGAACGGG
rnacentral:rRNA from 1 species